UCAACCUGCCGUACUUGCCUGGUGUCCCACUGAAGAUAAGCAGUGUUGAGGCUGGCCAGUACCUGGAUGGGAGACCUCCUGGAUAAAACUAAGGUUGCUGCUAGAA
rnacentral:rRNA from 1 species